rnacentral:rRNA from 2 species
GACGAACGCUGGCGGCGUGCCUAAUACAUGCAAGUCGAACGCACUUUCGUUAGAUUGAAGAAGCUUGCUUCUGAUUGAUAACAUUUGAGUGAGUGGCGGACGGGUGAGUAACACGUGGGUAACCUGCCCUAAAGUGGGGGAUAACAUUUGGAAACAGAUGCUAAUACCGCAUAAAACCUAGCACUGCAUGGUGCAAGGUUGAAAGAUGGUUUCGGCUAUCACUUUAGGAUGGACCCGCGGUGCAUUAGUUAGUUGGUGAGGUAAAGGCUCACCAAGACCGUGAUGCAUAGCCGACCUGAGAGGGUAAUCGGCCACACUGGGACUGAGACACGGCCCAGACUCCUACGGGAGGCAGCAGUAGGGAAUCUUCCACAAUGGACGAAAGUCUGAUGGAGCAACGCCGCGUGAGUGAAGAAGGUUUUCGGAUCGUAAAACUCUGUUGUUGGAGAAGAACGUAUUUGAUAGUAACUGAUCAGGUAGUGACGGUAUCCAACCAGAAAGCCACGGCUAACUACGUG